rnacentral:lncRNA from 1 species
AAACUUUAUGCUCUUUCUUGUCAUGCCCCUGUUUCCCUCAAGAUCAAAGAGUAUCGAGCAAAGAGGGGAUUGAAGCAGAUCACCACCCUGUGGGACCUUCCCAGCUCUGUUCCUGGAUGCCGAGCAAAACACAGGCACCCCAGCCUGCUACACACUUCUCAUCUUUUUCGGUGGAUGAUAGGUCGCCCGUGCAUCCAGGCUGGGCCUUGCGGGCUGCCCGGUUGGAGGUGAGAAGAGCACAGAGAGGAGUUUGCAGAAGGCUAACGGGGCGUGAUAGGAUGACGUCAAAGAAGGCACCAGAUGAUCCCAGCUUCCCAGGGUUCACAUCCUGUGUAAUCCUCUCUCCUUGGGUGGGGCUGGAUCUAGUGACUUGCUUCUAAUCAAUGGAAUGCAGCAAAAUUGGCUGGAUGUCACUUCUGUGAUAAGGUUAUAAAAACGGCACCCUCCCUCUUGUUAGCAAAUUCUCUCUUGUUGUUGUCAGGGAAACAAGGUGCCAUGUUGCAGAGGUCCGUAAGGCAGAGAACUGAGGGUAGCCUCCAUCUAACAGCCAACAAGGAAUGAGGCCCUCAGUUCAACAACCUUCCAAAAACUGAAUCUUGCCAGCAGCCAUGUGUAUGAAGUUGGCAGAUUCUUUCCCAGUUGAAACUCUUACAAGAGGGAGCCAUGUCAGGAAUGACCUUUGUCACCAUCUUGAUGUCGUCAGUCUUGUGAGAAACCUUGAGCCAACACUGUGGUUGCCAGCCUGUGAGACGCCUAAAGCAGAGGACCUAGCUAAGAUGUAUCAGGAUUUCCAAUUUAUAGAAACAUAAUAAAUGUGUGACGUUCAGCCUGCUAAGUCUUGGCAUACACAGUUGAUUUUCAUUAUUUAAGAAUUCCAAUAAUUGCAAAUUCUCCUAUUCACUAAAAUUUAUUUUAACCCCAAAUCUAUGUUCAUCUUGUUUUCAUGAUCAUUUACAGACACAUACAGAAAGGUGAAAGUUGACUUAUCUGAUGCACAUGUUCCCAGAUGAGGUUGAACAAAGCAAAGCUCACCUUUCUGGUUCCAGUUCUCACACUGUACACACACAGUAUAUUUUCAUGGUCUAUUUAGUGUAAUGUUUUUGAAUUUUGUGAUUUUUCUUGCUAGUUUUACUGUUUAGUCUCCAAGCAUAGAGCUGAAGUGCUGUCUAAUGUUCCUAAGUGCAAGGAAAUGUGCCUUACAGAGAAAAUUCAUGUAAUAGAUGAUCUUCAUUCAGGCUUGAGUUAUAUUCAGGAUUUGGCUGUGAAUUCAAUGAGGCGGUGAGUUCAAUGUUACUGUGACUCAACAAGAUAUCAUUAAAGAAAGUGUAUGUAAACAGAAGCACAUAUAAAAUAAGAUUAGUUAUUGAUCAGUUGAUGAAAAUGUGACUAGAGGCUCACAGGAACCUAACCCUGUUUUCCUGUAGGACCGGUGGUUCAGUAUGCACUGAUUUAAUGUUCUCAUUGCCUUAAUAGAUGUAACUUCCUCAAAUAAUGAGAAUUCACUGUAAUUUGUUAAGUACCAAUAGAUAACAAAUAUGGUGAGAGAAAGGACAAUUCAAUUUGCCAAUCUAUGGGAGAAGAGUUUCACAAGGAGGGCAUGAUUAAGCAUCGAGGGCGUAGGUGUCUCAAUGAGGGUAAGACAAGAUUUGCUGCUGCUGCUGCUAAGUCGCUUCAGUCGUGUCUGACGCUGUGCGACCCCAGAGACAGCAGCCCACCAGGCUCCCCCAUCCCUGGGAUUCUCCAGGCAAGAACACUGGAGUGGGUUGCCAUUUCCUUCUCCAAUGCAUGAAAGUGAAAAGUGAAAGUGAAGUCGCUCAGUCGUGUCUGACUCUUCGUGACCCCAUGGACUGCAGCCUACCAGGCUUCUCCGUCCAUGGGAUUUACCAGGCAAGAAUACUGGAGUGGGGUGCCAUUGCCUUCUCCGAGACAAGAGUUAGUGGAUGGCAAUUAUUGGUGUCUGUCAUCUGAGUAUCACUAAAAUGGCUAUUGAAAAUAAAUAAUUUUGCUUGACUAAAGAGAAUUGUUUUGAAUGGAUGUGAAUGAAGUUUAGGAAAAUUAGCUUCACAGAGCAAUCUCCUUGCUUUAUAAAGC